GCGGGUGUAGUUCAAUGGUAGAAUACAGGCCUUCCAAGCCUGUUAUGUCGGUUCGAUCCCGAUCGCCCGCU
rnacentral:tRNA from 1 species